AAAGACCAUGUCAGUUUGGGGAACACUCGGUCACUGCACACGCUGCUACUCAACGGGGAAGAAACUUGACGCAGUUUCCUAAAGCACGUGCACCGUAACUCGUAACAAAAAGAGGCCUUGAUGAGAGAGGAACACACGGAAUGGUCACGCUGUCACCCAAGGGGCAGGGAAGCCGGAUCUUCACAAGGUUCCGCGCCGGCUGCGGCGUUCACACGGUCUUCCCGGAUGUCUCUGGGGCGAAGACUCCUAGCCCUCCGUCUGGGUGCCACCUAAACGCAGACACUGUCACGGAGACCCGGGAGUCCAUCAGGACACGGCCGCCAGCCUGAGCCCACUCCCUGAAGCCAGGCUGAGCCACGGAGCGCUGCCAGCGGGAGGCCACCGUGUCCCACCUGGACCGCCGUAGCCGGCCUCUCCGGGUCCCACCCCCGAGCCCACCGUGGGAGCGGCGGCCGCACGUGGGAGCGCUGAGCCAGCCAAAGAGCGCAGCCGGAGGCCCCGCCACGAAGCCGCUCGCGGCCGGAGGAGCAGGCGGCACACGGGGACACGGCCGCACCUGCGAGGCCAGGAACACCGGCGGCGAAGGGGACCUCAGAAGCCGGCGCCGUCACCCCUGAGCCGAGCGAGGCCCGAAGGGGGCCCCGACUGGCCGGUGCUGCUGCCCGCGAGCACGUCCCCCCUUCCCUGUCCAGCCUGCCUCCUGGCCGGCGGGAGCUGACAGAGCAGAACCGUGUCUGCGGGGUGCCAGUCACCCCUGCCGAGCGGCGCACGGAGCGCAGCUGGGCCUUACGGCCGCAUCACGCGUCUGCGCGCGCGGCUCACGCACGCGGGCGCAAGAAUCAGUGAGGCCGCUCCCCUUCUUGCCCCACCUUCACCACGGUUGCCAGGUACCUGCCAUAAACCCAGAUUCUGGGGGCGGGGCCGAGGGGGCGGAGCAGCACGGAAGGUUUUUUUGCAUCUCUCUCUCAUCCCUGAAAUACAGCCAGGUCAACACUAAACCAUCCUGCACGCCUAGAAAACGAUGUGCGCAACCUGAACCACAGAACUCACCAGGGAUUGGAAGGGCACGUGGCAACCGACACCCAGGACCAAAGGAGCCCACACACUGUACCUGAGAAGACAACAGGUGUCCCAGUAAGAUCAGCACGGAAGACCAGCGACAAGUGGUUGGCUAAGCCACAGGCCAGCCACCGCCCAUCUCCUGCAUAAAAAGAUGAAGCAGCGGCAGGGAAGAGACCCUCGCACACGCGGUGAAGGCGGCCCCCGGACUCGGCGUACCCGAGAACUGGACACAGAGCGCGGCGGCUGGCCCGUGGGCAAGGACACGCUGCUUGUGGAGUCUGGUUGGCGGAGAACUCUCCAGAGGGUACUCCUUACUUGAAGGAACAUGAGGGAAAAUGAAAAUCAAGAGAGUUCAAAGUGAGGUUAGAAAUAAAAAAAUAAACUAGAAAGGGUUCGCCUAUCCAGAUGUGCGAUUUUAUUCUAUCGACUUUGACCGUACAGAAACACAUUCAAAGCCAUGAAA